rnacentral:rRNA from 1 species
GCCAUGCAUGUCUAAGUAUAAACGAUUUAAUCGUGAAACCGCGAAUGGCUCAUUAUAACAGCUAUAAUUUACUUGAUCUUGACACAAUCCUACUUGGAUAACUGUGGUAAUUCUAGAGCUAAUACAUGCAUUAAAGCUCUGACCUCACGGGAAGAGUGCAUUUAUUAGAACAAAACCAAGCGGCUUCGGCUGUUUCUGGUUGACUCAUAGUAACUGAGCUGAUCGCAUGGUCUUGCACCGGCGACGUGUCUUUCAAGUAUCUGCCGUAUCAACUUUCGAUGGUAGUGUAUCUGACUACCAUGGUGAUCACGCGUAACGGAGAAUAAGGGUUCGGCUCCGGAGAGUUCGCCUGAGAAAUCGCGAACACAUCUAAGGAAGGCAGCAGGCGCGAAAAUUACCCACUCUCAGCACGAGGAGGUAGUGACGAAAAAUAACGAGACCGUUCUCUUAUGAGGCCGGUCAUCGGAAUGGGUACAAU